GGAUGUGAGGGCGAUCUGGCUGCAACAUCUGUCACCCCAUUGAUCGCCAGGGUUGAUUCGGCUGAUCUGGCUGGCUAGGCGGGUGUCCCCUUCCUCCCUCACCGCUCCAUGUGCGUCCCUCCUGAAGCUGCGCGCUCGGUCGAAGAGGACGACCAUCCCUGCUAGAGGAGGACCGGCCUUCGGUCAAGGGUAUACGAGUAGCUGCGCUCCCCUGCUAGAACCUCCAAACAAGCUCUCAAGAGUCCCAACUGAACAAUGACCAUUUUUCCGUAACCUCACAAUUUUCCCUCUAUUUUGUGCCUAUAAAAUUUUUG
rnacentral:snRNA from 1 species